UACGGAAGGCAGCGGGGGGGAAUAUUGCACAAUGGGCGCAAGCCUGAUGCAGCCAUGCCGCGUGUAUGAAGAAGGCCUUCGGGUUGUAAAGUACUUUCAGUCGUGAGGAAGGUGUUAAGGUUAAUAACCUUAGCAAUUGACGUUAGCGACAGAAGAAGCACCGGCUAACUCCGUGCCAGCAGCCGCGGUAAUACGGAGGGUGCGAGCGUUAAUCGGAAUUACUGGGCGUAAAGGGCACGCAGGCGGUUAAUUAAGUUGGAUGUGAAAUCCCCGGGCUUAACCUGGGAAUGGCAUUCAAGACUGGUUAGCUAGAGUCUUGUAGAGGGGGUAGAAUUCCAUGUGUAGCGGUGAAAUGCGUAGAGAUGUGGAGGAAUACCGGUGGCGAAGGCGGCCCCUGGACAAAGACUGACGCUCAUGUGCGAAAGCGUGGGGAGCAAACAGGGAUUAGAUACC
rnacentral:rRNA from 1 species